rnacentral:ncRNA from 1 species
CAAUGAUAGGUUGAAGGAAGGUAGGGAUGACGUCAAGUCUUCAUGGCCCUUAUGAGUUGGGCUACACACGUGCUACAAUGAUAAUUACAAUGAGAGGCAAUAAUGAUUAAAAAAUUGGAGCAAAUCUUUAAAGAUUAUCUUAGUUCGGAUUAUGGGCUGAAACUCGCCCAUAUGAAGCUGGAAUCGCUAGUAAUCGCAGAACAGCAUGCUGCGGUGAAUAUGUUACUAGACUUUGACACACCGCCCGUCACAUCAAGGAAGUUAAAUAUUUUUAAAAUGAUUUUUAGUUAUUUUAUUUUAAUAAAUAAUUAUUUAAUUUUAAUAAUUUAUAUUUAAGAUUUUAUAAUAUAUAAGUUCCUAAAAAGUAUUUAGUAACUUUGAUGAAGUCGUAACAAGGUAGUCGUAGGGGAACCUGUGGCUGGAAGAGCUCUUUA